UAGCUGGUUCUCCCCGAAAUAUAUUGAGGUAUAGCCUCGGGGAUUGUCUGUCGGAGGUAAAGCACUGACAAGGCUAGGGGUCCUACCAGAUUACCAAACCUUUUCAAACUCAGAAUGCCGACAAGAUGUACCCCGGGAGUCAGACGGCGGGUGCUAAGGUCCGUCGUCGAGAGGGUAAGAGCCCAGAUCAACAGCUAAGGUCUCCAAAUCUAUGCUCAGUGGUUAAGGUGGUGACGUUGUAGAGACACCCAGGACGUUGGCUUAGAAGCAGCCAUCGUUUAAAGAAAGCGUAAUAGCUCACUGGUCUAAUGACUCUGCGCCGAAAAUGUAACGGGGCUAAGCAUGGUACCGAAGCUUCGGAUUCCUCUUUUGAGGAGUGGUAGGGGAGCGUUCUCUAUGGGCAGAAGCUGCAUUGUAAAGUGCGGUGGACGGUAGAGAAGUGAUUAUGCUGACAUGAGUAACGAUAAAACAGGUGAAAAACCUGUUCGCCGAAAACCCAAGGUUUCCUGGGUAAAGUUAAUCUUCCCAGGGUGAGUCGGACCCUAAGGCGAGGGCGAAAGCCGUAGCUGAUGGAAAACGGGUUAAUAUUCCCGUACUUCUUGUGGUGUGCGAUGGAGGGACGCAGAAAGAUAGGUGGGCCAACUGUUGGAUGUUGGUGCAAGCUGGUAGGAAUGCCUCGCCGGCAAAUCCGCGAGGUGAAUCCGAGAAGCGAGUCCGUGGGCGCAAGCCCUGAAGCCAUUGAGUCUCCGCUGCCAAGAAAAGCUCCUAAGUUUAGCCAUGAGGAUCCGUACUGCAAACCAACUCAGGUGGGUGGGAUGAAUAAUCCGAGGCGCUCGAGAGAACUCUGGCCAAGGAACUCGGCAAAAUGACCCCGUAACUUCGGAAGAAGGGGUGCUUUUUCAGGUGACCAUUUUUACAUUGGAAGCCGGAGGAAGCCGCAGUGAAUUGGUGGUGGCGACUGUUUACUAAAAACAUAGGUCUGUGCGAAGUCGCAAGACGACGUAUACGGACUGACGCCUGCCCGGUGCCGGAAGGUUAAGAGGAGAGGUCAGCGCAAGCGAAGCCUUGAAUCGAAGCCCCGGUAAACGGCGGCCGUAACUAUAACGGUCCUAAGGUAGCGAAAUUCCUUGUCGGGUAAGUUCCGACCUGCACGAAUGGCGUAACGAUCUCCACACUGUCUCGGCCAGAGACUCGGUGAAAUUGAAGUCGCGGUGAAAAUGCCGUGUACCCGCAGAAAGACGGAAAGACCCUGUGCACCUUUACUAUAGCUUGACAUUGGAUUUUGGGCCUACAUGUGUAGGAUAGGUGGGAGGCAAUGAAAUCUGUACGCCAGUAUGGAUGGAGCCACUGUUGAAAUACCACCCUUGUAUGUCUAAGGUCCUAACUCCACGCAGUGAACCUGCUGGAAGACAUUGUCUGGUGGGUAGUUUGACUGGGGCGGUCGCCUCCCAAAGAGUAACGGAGGCAUGCAAAGGUUCCCUCAGGCUGUUCGGAAACCAGCCGUUGAGUGCAAACGCAUAAGGGAGCUUGACUGCAAGAGAGACAUCUCGAGCAGGUACG
rnacentral:rRNA from 1 species